UACGUAGGGUGCAAGCGUUAAUCGGAAUUACUGGGCGUAAAGCGUGCGUAGGCGGUUUGUUAAGUCUGCUGUGAAAUCCCCGGGCUCAACCUGGGAAUGGCAGUGGAUACUGGCAAGCUAGAGUGUGUCAGAGGAUGGUGGAAUUCCCGGUGUAGCGGUGAAAUGCGUAGAGAUGUGGAGGAAUACCGAUGGCGAAGGCAGCCCCCUGGGCCAAUACUGACGCUCAUGCACGAAAGCGUGGGGGAGCAAACAGG
rnacentral:rRNA from 1 species